GAUGAAGAACGUAGCGAAAUGCGAUACGUAAUGUGAAUUGCAGAAUUCAGUGAAUCAUCGAGUCUUUGAACGCACAUUGCGCCCUCUGGUAUUCCGGAGGGCAUGCCUGUCCGAGCGUCAUUGCUGCCCUCAAGCACGGCUUGUGUGUUGGGCUCCGUCCCCCGAUCCCGGGGGACGGGCCCGAAAGGCAGCGGCGGCACCGCGUCCGGUCCUCGAGCGUAUGGGGCUUUGUCACCCGCUCUGUAGGCCCGGCCGGCGCUUGCCGAUCAACCAAAUUUUUAUCCAGGUUGACCUCGGAUCAGGUAGGGAUACCCGCUGAACUUAAGCAUAUCAUAAGCGGAGGA
rnacentral:misc_RNA from 1 species